rnacentral:piRNA from 1 species
UAUCUUAGCUGGUGCCCAAACUUAGAUU